AAUCUUUUGUUAAAUCAUACAUUUUAGAAUCUUUAGUUAAGCCUUUUAUAAGAGUAUUGUGAAAGAGAUGGAGAUGGAUGAAACAAAUCUCUUUAUCUUAGAACUGUUAGUAAAUUGGUUUUUAGAGAUGGUUUUAGACUCUAUUUCAGUAGUUUAUUUUUGUAAUAAUGGGAUUUGAACUCAGGGCUUCGUGCUUGUUAGGCAG